AAAUCUCGGAUUUUCAUCCGGUCGCAUCGGAAAAACGACGGAUCGGAAAAUCAAAUGGACUGCUGAAAUGGAUAGAGGAGACAAAAGUCUACGGGAAACGGUCAGAUACGAAACGAAAAACUUUCCGCGGGAUUUAAUUAAGUUUUCCGAUCAAUCGCGUCGCAGAGAAUUAUUUUAAUAUAAUAGAAGAAGAAGAUAGAAGAUGGAUAGAUAGAUUAUCUAUAAUAGUACGUACUUUUUUUUUGUGUAAACGUUUUCGAAUGCGUCUCAUUAAUUCUUCGCUUUAAUCGUAAUUUUAAUACAUGUUAUGUGAUAUUCGAUUCGUUUUACUGAAAAAUAUGAAGAGACAUAACUAAUCGGAUGUUUUCAUUGCAUAUAUUGAUUUGUUGUGAAACAGUGGAAUGUUAUUAUUAAACGCUUACACACAGCUAUGAAACGAAGAAAACAUGGUACAUAAUACGUUUAAAUUAUAAUUGGUUUUUUAUAAGCGUUAAGUACGUUCAAUACGAUUUCUUUGCCAAAAGAUGUUGGGAGAUAGCUGUAUGAUUUCAUUAUAAAUGGAAUGGAAUUGAAUAAAACGUUUCGUCUGUGCUAAUGAUACUGAUCAUAACGUACAAAGCUAUAAAAUAAAUAAAAUUCGUUAACGAGUCUUAUAGAAUAUCAGCCGUUACACUUGGACGAAAGGAAAUGCAAACUUUUACGGUGUCUUUAAAUAAUGGAUAUAGCUAUUGUAUUUUUUCAUUUUACUUUUUUCUUUGAAAUGGAAAUGAAUUCAAUGUGUUAUUGGUGCUAAUGAUACUAUUCAAAACAAACACAACUAUAAAAUAAAGAAAACAUGAAAAAAAUUAAGUCAGAGCUUUUGUUUUACCGAGAAAUAUGAGGAGAUAUAGUUAAUCGGAUGUUUUCAUUACAUAUACCUGCAAUAUAUAUCGAUUUAAUGUGAAUGGCUGUAAUGAUAUUAUAAAAUGCACACACUGCUAUAAAAUGAAGAAAACAUGGAGAUAGAUGUUGGAUGUUUUCCAUUAUACUUUAUUCUUUGGAAUGAAACUGAAGUCAAUGUGUUAUUGGUGCUAAUGAUACUAUUCAAAACAAACACAACUAUAAAGUAAUGAAAACAUGUAAAAGUCAGUCCUUACACUUAAAUGAAAGGAAAUAAAAAACUUUUAUGAUAUUAUGAAGAUGAAAAAAACCAUUAAGUUAUCCCUUCUUUGUACUAUAAGCUUUAAGUGUUUUUAAAAUUUGUUAAUUACAUAUUCACUUUUAUUUGUUCUACCAAAAAUUAUGAGGACAGAGCUAUUGUAUGUUAUCAUUGAGAAGGAAAGUGAUUGACAUAUAUGAUAUUAUUAUGAAUACAAACAGAUACAAAAAU